CCUACGGGUUGCAGCAGUGGGGAAUAUUGCACAAUGGGCGCAAGCCUGAAGCAGCCAUGCCGCGUGUAUGAAGAAGGCCUUCGGGUUGUAAAGUACUUUCAGCGGGGAGGAAGGCGAUAAGGUUAAUAACCUUGUCGAUUGACGUUAUCCGCAGAAGAAGCACCGGCUAACUCCGUGCCAGCAGCCGCGGUAAUACGGAGGGUGCAAGCGUUAAUCGGAAUUACUGGGCGUAAAGCGCACGCAGGCGGUCUGUCAAGUCGGAUGUGAAAUCCCCGGGCUCAACCCGGGAACUGCAUUCGAAACUGGCAGGCUGGAGUCUUGUAGAGGGGGGUAGAAUUCCAGGUGUAGCGGUGAAAUGCGUAGAGAUCUGAAGGAAUACCAGUGGCGAAGGCGGCCCCCUGGACAAAGACUGACGCUCAGGUGCGAAAGCGUAGGGAGCAAACAGGAUUAGAUACCCCUGUAGUC
rnacentral:rRNA from 1 species